UAAUAUAUAUUGUUUUUUUUUAAGUGAUGAAGGGGAUUGAGCCUACUCCGUGAGGAAGAGGGGCUGAUUUUUUUUUUUUUUGAAGUGAGGGGCUACUUAAUUUGAAUAUGAUAUUGAUUUUUGAUGUUCUAUGUUUUGUGUUGGUUGUGCUAUUGUUUUGUGUUCUCAUUAACAGUUGCAAAACAUUUUUUUUAUUAAUCCAGACUUUUUUUUUGUCUCUGUUACAGGUUAUUACUCUUGAGGAUGUAAUAAAGGGAAUGAAGGUAUAAAAUUGCUUGAACUCUUAUUUAUUAUGGAAACUUUCCUUAACCAAAUUGUUAUGGUCUAUUAUUGUUGCAAAUCAUGAGGGAGACUUUGAUAUAUUUGUCACAUCUUGAUCACGAGGACACGGAAAAGAUGAUGCUAAAGAAGCUAAGCAAACAAUUAAGUGGCGAGGAUUGGAAUUGGAACAACUUAAACACAUUAUGUUGGGCAAUAGGGUCUAUAUCUGGUUCGAUGAUGGAAGAAUAGGAGAACAGAUUUUUGGUUAUGGUCAUUCGUGACUUGCUGAAUUUAUGCGAAAUGACGAAAGGGAAGGAUAACAAAGCUGUCAUCGCAAGUAACAUUAUGUAUGUUGUUGGACAGUACCCGAGGUUUCUAAGAGCUCACUGGAAGUUCCUAAAAACUGUUGUGAACAAAUUGUUUGAGUUCAUGCAUUAG